AGAAAAAAACUAUCUGAGCCAUCAGUUUCAGGAUGAGUGGUCCAGAUUGUAGUGGAUGGAAGUGACAGCACACGUGCUAGCUUCUUUGCACAAAAGCCCCCCACUUGUACUCAUUUUUCUUUCAUAAUCUGCUUCUUCCUUCGUCCGAUAGCAGCAGCACAGCCCAAAAUUCCUCAAUCUAGCUUGACUGCCGGCCACCUCCUGGAUCAAUCCUCUCGCUCAUCGUCCUCCAGCUUGCCGACCGUGGCGGAGGUCCAGAUCCGGUGCCCACCUGGGAAAGUACGGCCAGUAGAGGUGCUGUUCCAGCUCCUGGUCGUCUCGUCGCCGCCGGUGCUACUCCGGCGGAUCUCGCCCUGUUCCAAGCCACGACCUUGUGCGAACAAGCACUUCAGGAUACUCUGCUCCGGCGGUUAGAGGUCGACCUCGCCCCGUACUUCUUCCUACCCCAACCCGCCAUUCUCCACACGUUGCGCCCUACUCCUGUGCGGCUAGCUCGGCCACCCACCGACGCCAGAGAAGAAAUCUUGGGUCUUAAGAUCGGAGCUUGUCGACUAGUGCUAGGCUCGGCCUCCGUUGUUCUGCUGUUGCAUCUCAAUCUGAAAUGCAGGGAAGUAGUAUUUUACAUAUGUCAUGGCCUACUGGAGUGUCCGAACAAUAGCUGUUGAGCUCUUUUCAGCAAAAAAAAAAGGUUUGUGUUCGUCUGUUUCUUAGGUCAGUUGUGGCAAAUGGCGUACAAAGCUGGCAUAAUGAUUUCCUUUCUUCUCAAUAUAUGAUGUUUGAUAUAUGUUUCUAACAGACACAUAUUUAUUUGGUGUGCUUAACUAGAUGGAUUGAACUGAUGAAGUUUAUAUAGAGCCGCCUUGAGAAAAAAAAGUUUAUAUAGAGUCCAUGGAGGUUGUCAUCUAUUCCAGCAGAUGAAGGUCGAUUAGCAAGUCACUACAAAAGGAAGGCAAGAUCAUAGAUCUUUUCUGUCAUCCAUCAAUCCUUAAUACUUGGUUUUCCUGGAAAUGUAGUAAAAACGAUCUAUGUAUGCCUCUUGUGUUGUGUUCUCAUGUACUUGAAUACUCAAAUGCUUGUUGAGAUAUAAUGUACCAUCAGUCCUUAAUACGCGGUCUACCUGGGAAUGUACUACAAAA